rnacentral:piRNA from 1 species
UGCUGUUGUACAAACAAAACAUUUCCAGUC